rnacentral:other from 1 species
AUUUAAAUACAUCUCAUGCUAAGGUUCAAC